rnacentral:rRNA from 1 species
UACGAAGGGUGCAAACGUUGCUCGGAAUUAUUGGGCGUAAAGCGCACGUAGGCGGCUUGGCAAGUCGGAUGUGAAAUCCCUCGGCUCAACCAAGGAAGUGCAUCCGAAACUGCCGAGCUUGAGUACUUAAGAGGAUCGCGGAAUUCCGGUGUAGAGGUGAAAUUCGUAGAUAUCGGGAGGAACACCGGUGGCGAAGGCGGCAUCCUGAACUGUAACUGACACUGAGGAACGAA